GACGAACGCUGGCGGCGUGCCUAAUACAUGCAAGUUGAGCGCUGAAGGUUGGUACUUGUACCAACUGGAUGAGCAGCGAACGGGUGAGUAACGCGUGGGGAAUCUGCCUUUGAGCGGGGGACAACAUUUGGAAACGAAUGCUAAUACCGCAUAAAAACUUUAAACACAAGUUUUAAGUUUGAAAGAUGCAAUUGCAUCACUCAAAGAUGAUCCCGCGUUGUAUUAGCUAGUUGGUGAGGUAAAGGCUCACCAAGGCGAUGAUACAUAGCCGACCUGAGAGGGUGAUCGGCCACAUUGGGACUGAGACACGGCCCAAACUCCUACGGGAGGCAGCAGUAGGGAAUCUUCGGCAAUGGACGAAAGUCUGACCGAGCAACGCCGCGUGAGUGAAGAAGGUUUUCGGAUCGUAAAACUCUGUUGGUAGAGAAGAACGUUGGUGAGAGUGGAAAGCUCAUCAAGUGACGGUAACGACCCAGAAAAGGACGGCUAACUACGU
rnacentral:rRNA from 1 species